CAAUCUAGAAAAAUAUUAAGCUUAGGGGUACAGAAGAAAAAAAAAGGUUGGGAACCGCUGGCUUAGGGGAACGCGUGGCACUGCAGACAAUACGGAGACGAUAAUAGGUUCGCACGUAUGGAAAAAUCGUUUAUUUUUGUGGUAUUUUUCUACUAAAAAUAUAUGAUUUUAAUAAUAUGUAAAUCAAUAUUUUUAAGAGUCAAUUGUAAUAACAUUAUUUUUGAGUUCCUAAGACAUAAAACGGUAAAAAUUUCCCAGUCAAGAGUUUUAUAUUGAAAAUUAAGAAAUGUUAUACCCACUAAUCACUUAUUUCGAAAGUACGCGAUCGGAAUUUUAUACAAGAAAGGUCGAAGUCGAUAACCACAUCAUAUCGAAAUAUGGAAAUAUUGAAAACGUCUUCAAAAUGAUCAACCUAGGGGCUAGGACCAAUAACAGUAGUAUAUUUCAAAGAUGAAAGUUUAACAAAAGUAACCGAAGAACAAUUAAUUGUUGGGUAGCACUAUCCUAAAAAAAGAACAAAGAUUUAUCAAAAGAUUAUUUCAAAUGUAUACAAAUUCAAGUGACUAGAUAACCGACGAACUACGAAGUGAUUCAAGAGUGGAAUGAUAGUUCAGCGAGCUGCUCAGCUGACGAAUAUUCGUCUUGCUCGCGCAUCCCAUAACAAAACGAGCAUCGCCGAUGACUGUCGAGUGUCCACCAAUCACAGAAUACGACAGAGCGACCGCCGGGGGAUCAGGCAGUGAUCGGCGGCUCAGUCGUCGUGCGUUAAAGUGGCAUAUUCUUAACGUGAACAGAGUAUAGGAACACCAUUUUAUUGAAAUAAUGAUUAUGUUUUUUCACAUGGCAUAUCAUCUUAUACAGUAUUUCUGAUUUCAGUAUUUACAUUAGGUAUAAUAAUUAUCCAAGAGAUAUUGAAAAUAUUUUAAUAUCUGAUAUAAUUGAAAAAUGGGACUUCAUCAAUAGCCUAUGAAAGAACCCCAAGCCUCACCUAAAUGGCUAAAUCUAUAAAUCAAUUACAAGAAAACAAAAUGAAAUUUUAUCACAAUAUAAUAAAUAAAAUUGCAUUAAUAUACAGUAGGUAUACACUAUUGCUACAACUAAGACAUUUUAUGUUAUUUAAUUUUGAGGAAUAAAAACAAGAUGUUACAAUAAAAAAUAUAAAUAACAUUGUUAUACUUCAUUAUGGAAAAAUUAACUUGUUCUUCAAACCUUUCAUAAAUUUAAUGACGAUAAUCUAUUCUGGUUAAGCUUAAGAAACACAGUCGGCUGUCACUUUGUGAGCAGUGGAGGAGCAAUGUUACACGGCAGGUACCUAUAUAUAGAUGACUCUGUGGGGGUAACAAACUGGUGUUGCCUGACUGCCGCCGAUGAAACCAUGUCACCAAAGACUGCAUUUUUUAUUUUGAACUAAGUAUAAUAUUGAUAACAGUUUUUACUGAUAACAAUGUAUUAUUUUCUAAUCACUAUCUAAUAUAUUAUAAUAUUAUAAUACAUUGUUUUAACCUACGUCUCUAUAUUUGCGGUGUAUAAGUGUUUAAUUUAAGACAAUUAAUAACAUUAUAGUUAAUAUAAUAAUAAACAAAGAACCAAAAUAAAUAUUUACUUCUUUUAACAUUGAAAAAUAUUGUUUGUUGGUA